UACGUAGGGUGCAAGCGUUAAUCGGAAUUACUGGGCGUAAAGCGUGCGCAGGCGGUGAUGUAAGACAGAUGUGAAAUCCCCGGGCUCAACCUGGGACCUGCAUUUGUGACUGCAUCGCUGGAGUACGGUAGAGGGGGAUGGAAUUCCGCGUGUAGCAGUGAAAUGCGUAGAUAUGCGGAGGAACACCGAUGGCGAAGGCAAUCCCCUGGACCUGUACUGACGCUCAUGCACGAAAGGCGUGGGGAGCAAACGAGG
rnacentral:rRNA from 1 species